GUUUGAUCAUGGCUCAGAUUGAACGCUGGCGGCAGGCCUAACACAUGCAAGUCGAGCGGAAACGAGUUAUCUGAACCUUCGGGGAACGAUAACGGCGUCGAGCGGCGGACGGGUGAGUAAUGCCUAGGAAAUUGCCCUGAUGUGGGGGAUAACCAUUGGAAACGAUGGCUAAUACCGCAUAAUACCUACGGGUCAAAGAGGGGGACCUUCGGGCCUCUCGCGUCAGGAUAUGCCUAGGUGGGAUUAGCUAGUUGGUGAGGUAAUGGCUCACCAAGGCGACGAUCCCUAGCUGGUCUGAGAGGAUGAUCAGCCACACUGGAACUGAGACACGGUCCAGACUCCUACGGGAGGCAGCAGUGGGGAAUAUUGCACAAUGGGCGCAAGCCUGAUGCAGCCAUGCCGCGUGUGUGAAGAAGGCCUUCGGGUUGUAAAGCACUUUCAGUCGUGAGGAAGGUAGUGUAGUUAAUAGCUGCAUUAUUUGACGUUAGCGACAGAAGAAGCACCGGCUAACUCCGUGCCAGCAGCCGCGGUAAUACGGAGGGUGCGAGCG
rnacentral:rRNA from 1 species